GAAUGAGGCAGGGACAAACGCCUGCGUUGGCAGGACGCGGUGGUUAGGGCUGAUAUACUGCAGCUGGUUAAUACCUGGCCUGGGGAGCUGGGAGCAGCUUGUGUCUUUAUUGCUUGGUUUUUGGUUUAUAGCUCUUGGCAGAUACCCAGAGAACGAGAUGAGUCCCUGUUUUUAAUCCUGUUACAGAACCAACCCCACAACAUGAUGCUGAGCACCACGGAGCGUGCAGGCAUGGGGAAUACCCCUGCCACAGAGCUGUGCCUGCUGUGAUUGCUGUGCCCUUCUCCCGGGAGGUGCUGCCAUCCCCUGCACACGAGUCGGGGCAAAACCCUGGAUGUUCUGGCUCUCGUGCUUCCCCUUUGAGACAACGGGCUGUGCCUGCAGACCAGGAGUAGGAGGAACUUCCCUCCUACUAGGGAGGGGGUGACAUCCCACGCUUCAGUCUGCUUUGUUAUCCACGACUGUUUCCUCGUUGUGUUUGUUAUGGAAUUGGAGAGCACAGUUGGCAGACGCAGCCCAUGAACACUGCACAAGCUCUAUGAGGAGAGAGAAGAGCCACCAAAAUCUGCCUACUCCUCAUUGAGCCUCUGUGUAUUGCACGAAUGGUGGUCAUCAACCCAGGAUUGCCAGACCUGAGCCUCAGAGAGCAGGGAAGACGGAGUGUUUCCAAGUGCUGGGGGUUCCUGGCCCUGAUGCCCAUGUAGAGGAUGGAUCUCCUACUGCAACCACCCGUUUCUGUGCUGCUCCUGCUCCGGGUACCUCCAUACCUUCAGAGUGGGGACAUGCCGUGCUGAGGAUGGCUCGGGGCUGCUCCCCUGAGAGCCGAGAUGGAGCUCCGGGUAGAUCCUUAUGGGCAAACACACUGCAACCACGGUGUCUACUGUAGCCAUGUAUUCCUGCUCCUCAGGCUAUGGAGAGGUGAAAGACAAGGCGUCUGCGGGAACACGACCUCUCUGACAGACCCAGUUACACCAGAGCAGGCAGAGGGAAUGAUACACGCCAAUGGUGAGAGGAGAUACAGCAACUGCUCAGUUAAUGACAGUCACAUUAUAAAGGAGCAAAGAGGAGGAAAGCAGGAAAGAAUGCAGAAUAUACCCUGUCCUCCUGACGCCAAUGUCAUGGAAGCGUCAAGUGAAGAAGACAGUUGUAAAAAUGGAUUGCAUGGAGAAUGCCUCUCAAGCUGUUAUCUGUUAUUUAUAAGGAAUUAAAAUGCACUAGUUAUAUGUGCCAGAAAAAUGGGCUCAUCAGUACUGUGCUGAGAUGCAUUAUGACUUUCCGAUUCCUGAUUUCAUAGCUGCUGUACUCACUCGAAAACAUAUUUAUAUACUUUGUAUCAACUGCUACCCAUUGAAUUUUUAUUGUCCAUUACAGGGGAAAAUCUUAUGUUUCAAUUUGCAUCUCGCUUGAUUCAUUGACACACCAUUCAUAACUCUGGUCUUGUGGGAUUUCCUCGGGAAAUGCUGGAUCUCAGGCUGUGAGGAUAUCCCUUCCUACAGCACAUGAACGGCUGUUAAUGCCAUCACACCGUGGGCUGACAGAUGUCAAUGGAGUCCCAGCCCCCGCCACAGUCAGGAG
rnacentral:lncRNA from 1 species